AAUCCCAGGACUUUGAGAGGCCGAGGUGGGAGGGUUGCUUGAGCCCAAGAGUUCAAGACGAGCCAGAGCAACAUAGGGUGUUUGUGAACCGAAGUUUAGCGAUGGAAAAGAUAAAGUGUUUUGGUUUUGAUAUGGAUUAUACCCUUGCUGGAGAGCCAGUGUAACUCCUUCAAGACUGGAGUGACACACACUGCAUCUGCAUCUGCCUCAUUGUACAAGUCCCCAGAGUAUGAGUCCCUUGGUUUUGAGCUUACUGUGGAGAGAUUAGUUUCUAUUGGCUAUCCUCAGGAGUUGCUCAGCUUUGCUUAUGAUUCUACAUUCCCUACCAGGGGACUUGUCUUUGACACACUAUAUGGAAAUCUUUUGAAAGUGGAUGCCUAUGGAAACCUCUUGGUCUGUGCACAUGGAUUUAACUUUAUAAGGGGACCAGAAACUAGAGAACAGUAUCCAAAUAAAUUUAUCCAGCGAGAUGAUACUGAAAGAUUUUACAUUUUGAACACACUAUUCAACCUACCAGAGACCUACCUGUUGGCCUGCCUAGUAGAUUUUUUUACUAAUUGUCCCAGAUAUACCAGUUGUGAAACAGGAUUUAAAGAUGGGGACCUCUUCAUGUCCUACCGGAGUAUGUUCCAGGAUGUAAGAGAUGCUGUUGACUGGGUUCAUUACAAG
rnacentral:sRNA from 1 species